UUUUUUUAAACCGGGCGUUACCCCUUUCCAUUGCAAACAACGGAAAUACAACCAUUUCCGAAUACAAAGACAGAGAGAGGGAAAGAGGUAAGGCGAGUUCAAGCAUUACCAGGAAACCCACUGCCACUCGGGUCACCGUCGACCCGAACGCUGUGGGGCGAAAACCUGGUAACACCUAAAGUUAACAGAUAGCUAAGUCCCAGGACACCCAGAGAUGGUUACAUGUCAACACACCAAAAGAUCAUCAAAUCAGAAGAGGGGAAACUACUAUGAGGAAGAUGGCCCUCCCAGCAGAACAUUCAUUUUAUCCUGUCCUCAAAGCAGUGUACCUCCACCACGCUCUUCAUGCUCCUCCAAUUGGUUGGGCAGUGGUCCCGCAAAGUCUCAUCAGCUGCAUCAUGCUGGCCCUGAUCAUCUUGGCACCUGAGCGAAGCUUGUCAGCGUCAUCACCCUUCUGCAGUCCUGUCCAAUACAAAAGAAAGGAGCAUAUAGAGAACACAAUUUCAAAGGGAGACUUAAUUUGCUUUUUCUCAAAGGUAGCCUUAUUGCGAGCAAGCCAGAUCGCCCAGCAAGUGGCAGCAAGACCAACAAUAUAAAACUUAUCCCCUCCUGGAAGAAAGGAAUAGCACCAAGCAAAGAAUUGCCAGUAGUUAUCAGGACACUUAUCAGUACCAAUAGCCACCCCAAUAGAUCGCCACACCACCCUAGCGACCGAACAAGUAAAGAACAAGUGCUGGGAAGUCUCAAUUUCGUUACAAAAUGAACAAACAGGGUUCCUAGGCCAAUUCCUAUGAUGCAUCACCUGUCUAGUCAGCACCGCAUCUUGCGAAAGUUGCCACAUAAAAAUUUUAACCUUAAGAGGAAUUUUGGCCUUCCAAAUCCACUUAUAAUGGCACCCACUGAGGGGUUUCUCUAGCAACUUAUAAACAGAUUUGGUACUAAAUUUACCAUUCUGGUUCAAGCUCCAAACCACACGAUCCUCUUUGUCAGUUAAAGGAAGUUUAUUAACUGUAUCCAAAACAACCCCCCAUUGCUCAGAUAGCACAGGAGUGAGCCUUCUUCUAAAAAAGGAAGCACUAUCCACAUUCAACACUUGUUUGAUAGUACAUUCAGGAAUAUUGCAAAUGUCAAAGAGUUGAGGGUAAUCCUCCUUAAACGGAAGUAGUCCGUUAAUGGAGUCACUCCAUACCCUGGCAAUGUUUCCAGACUCGAUGUUGAUCUUUCUACCAGUCAUGUAAACUUCCUUGACUUUCAGCAAGGCUUUCCAACAGGGAGAGUCAGAAAACCUUGGGCCAACAUCAGCUACCGUUCUAUUCCGCAAGUAACGAGCACGAACGAUGUCUUGCCACAACCCACUUUGUGUCUCAAGCUUCCACCACCAUUUCACCAUCAGACUAAUGUUCUGUUUGCGCAGGUCUUUGAUACCUAGACCACCCUUUUCUUUGGAUCUGCAAAUCCUGUUCCAUCUCACAAGAUAGUAUAUCUUUUUUAGUACAACCUUGCCAGAAGAAUCUUCUUCUAUGUUUAUCCAAUCUCUCAAUGAACGUUUUGAUCAUCAGCCACAUGGACAUAUGGUACAAGGAUAUUUGAGUGACAACAGAGUCAACUAAAGUGUGUCUCCCUCCCAUGGAGGCAGCAUUACCUACCCAAGCAUCAAAUCUUUUCAAAUAUUUGCAAACAAUGAACUCCCAAUCGGAGUUUCUCAAAGUAGUAUAGCUAACAGGCAUGCCCAAAUAUUUAAUGGGAAAGCUGCCUAUAUCACAAUUGAAGAGGUCGGCAUAUUGCUUAAUCACAACAUCGUCUCCCCCAACAGUCAGAAUUUCACUUUUUGAAAAUUAACUUUCAACCCGGACAUCAUUUCGAACAUAUACAUCAGCAACUUCAGAUUGACUGCUUUAUCGAUGUCAUGCUCAAGACAAAUAAUUGUGUCAUCUGCGUACUAAAGUACCGCAACUCCAUCAGGGAUCAGGUCCGCAGCUAAGCCAACCAGCAACUUAUUACGCUGAGCAUUUUUUAUCAUCUUCGUGAGGCAUUCGGCAGCUAAGUUAAACAAGAAUGGGGAGUGAGGGUCGCCUUGUCGCACCCCUUUCGCACUUUGUAAGUACGGCCCCACACUGUUAUUUAACUUGAUGCUAACCGUGCCAUUUCGAAGGAUCUGAUUAAUCCAUCCACACCAGGUAUCAUUGAAUCCCUGCAGCUUGUGGCAUUCUAAUAGGAACUCCUAGUUAACCUUAUCAUACGCUUUUUCAAAAUCCAGUUUCAACACCACCCCAACCUUUUUCUUCACAUGUGUGUAAUUAAGGAUUUCAUGGAGUGAAAGCACCCCAUCCAUAAUGUUCCUACCCUUGACAAAGGCAUUCUGGACUGGGCUAAUUAGCUUGUCAGCAUAAACCAAGACUCGGCGGUCUAGGACUUUUGUGAUAAGUUUAUAAGGGCAACGAAGCAAGCAAAUGGGUCUGAACUGUUGGAUUUUGUCAGCCCCGGAGAGCUUCGGGAGCAAAGUGAUGAUCCCGUAGUUCAACCUUUGAACAUCCAACGUCCCUUGACGAAAGUGUCUAAACAAGACCAUGAUAUCAUCCUUGACAAUAUCCCAGCAUACUUGGUAGAAUUCUACCGAUAUAUUGUCAGGUCCAGGAGCUCUAUUGGGAGCCAUUUCAAAAAGGGCCUCCUUGACCUCCUCUUCAGAAAAUUCUCUACACAGGUUAGUGUUAUCUUCCUUACUAAGUUUUUCCUCCGGAGUCCAUGUGUCAGGGUCCAGGUGAAACUGGUUUCCAGAAGCUGUCCCGAAUAGUUCUUUAUAGAACUCUGUGGCAUGAGCGAUCAGCUUAUUAGUACCUUCUAUCUCCGUAUAACCCACCUUAAGGGAGUGGAUCGUGUUUUUCCUUUUACGCCCAUUAGCUAUACGAUGGAAGUAAUCGGUAUUUAAAUCCCCUUUAAGCAACCAUCGCUCGUGCGAUUGUUGCAACCAAAAAAUUUCCUCAUUAACAAGCAGCUCAUGAAGUUCAAAACAGGCAUCGAUCUUCCUACUGUACAGCUCAGGGGAAAGAGGGGCCUCUUCUUCUAACUCUUCCAACAGUUCCAGCUCCAUCCGGAGGUCAUCCUUUCUUUUCUUAUCAUGACCAAAUUUAUCCGAACCCCACCCUUAAAAAUAAGACUUGAAUCUCUUGAGUUUGAUGUUUAAGACAUCGAUGGGGUCAGAAGAGAAAACCUUACACACCCAAAUUUUCUGAACCAGCGGGAGGAAUCUAUCAUCUUUAACCCACGCCAAAUCGAACUGAAAUUCUCUAGGUUUCGGAGCCUCACGCCCCACUUCACCCGUGGAUAACAACAUGGGGUUGUGGUCUGAAAUUUCCCGAACCAGUUUCCUGACACAGACCAAAGGAAACAAAUCCUCCCAAGUUUCAGACAUCAAGAUGUGGUCAAGCUUCUCCAAAGUGGGGUGUGCUUGAUUAUUAGUCCAAGUAUACUUGCCACCACUAAUGUGUAUCUCUCUAAGAGCUAGGAUAUUUAUAAUGGAGUUGAAAAGAUCAGAAGAUUUGUGAUUAGAUAACCUUUUAUUUUUCUCUCCAGAGUGCCUAAGGAUAUUAAAGUCCCCACCAACAAUGUACGGGACUUGCAUACAGCCACACAUUGAGGCAAGCUCACUAAGGAAUUCUUCCUUAAAUUCCUCAUGAGCAGAACCAUAGACUAUCAACAAACCCCAAUUGGUCUUUUUCUUCUUAUCAUACAACACUAGUUGUAAGAUAUACUUGCCCUUGUCACAGGAGAUAAUAUCCAAGUUAUCAUUUUUAGCACCACACAGGAUACCCCCGGACUUCCCAACAGAGGGAAUCCAGUUCCAACUAAAAACGCUAAAAGGAUCAAUUUUCCUCAGGCAACCAGGAGUAAAUUUCUUUUUCAUGGUCUCUUGCAACCCCAGGAAAUCUACAGAAUGGUCACUGAUCAUAUCAGAGAGGCAGGUGGCCAUUCCCUUCUUGCCUACCCCCCUACAGUUCCAUAUGACACCUUUCAUUUAGAACGUUUUUUAUGGUGCUGAGUCCUAAUAACCCUACCAGGAGGCAGUGUAGGGUUACAGACAUCAUCUCCUAUGGGAUCCUUCCUUUUUUGGCUCCUAGUCACAGGCCUAGAGAGCUUAACCGCAGAUCUACGUUGUUUUUUCUUAUUAGAUCUGCCAGCAGAGCAUUGCUCAUUUAUAGUUUCAUCAUGUUCUAACCAGUCAAGGUUAACAUGAGCUUUCUUCCCCAGCCCAUUAGUGACAAUAAUGUCAUCCUCAUCACCCUGCCUAUUGUCCUCUAUACUUUUCUUUUCUUCUAAAUUCCCUCUGACUAUUUCCAACUCCCGAAGCACAUCAAUAUAAGUAAAAUCAUUAUCAGGAAUACAGACCCCCAUUUUAGCAGCUCUAAUCAUCAACUCAUUAUCAGAAAGAGCUGCGAAAGAAUUUUUAUUCAGGUUUGGUUUGUUACCUGCCCCAUCUUUCUCAUUGGCCAUCCUCACAGCUCUAGCUUCCACAUUCUCCUGCAUGCUUCGAGCGUUAUGCUUGCUGAAUCUUUGCACGCCCUCAGGGGCAAGUGGCGGAGUGAGCACGAUCUCCUCAUUAUGAUUAGGUGAAGGGAGUUGUACCACAUACUCAGCAGAAGUCUUCAAUUUUGGGUCCACCUCUCCAUCAACCUCCACAACCUGAGUAAUAUUAGUAACAGCAGCAGCAUAUGAUAGGCUACGAUUGACCAUAGUUUUAUUUUUUACCUGCACCUUGUGG
rnacentral:lncRNA from 1 species